rnacentral:rRNA from 1 species
AUUGAACGCUGGCGGAAUGCUUUACACAUGCAAGUCGAACGGUAGAGGGGGCAACCCCUCGAGAGUGGCGAACGGGUGAGUAAUAUAUCGGAACGUGCCCAGUCGUGGGGGAUAACGUAGCGAAAGUUACGCUAAUACCGCAUACGAUCUGCGGAUGAAAGCGGGGGACCUAAGGCCUCGCGCGAUUGGAGCGGCCGAUAUCAGAUUAGGUAGUUAGGUGGGGUAAAGGCUCACCAAGCCAACGAUCUGUAGCUGGUCUGAGAGGACGACCAGCCACACUGGAACUGAGACACGGUCCAGACUCCUACGGGAGGCAGCAGUGGGGAAUUUUGGACAAUGGACGCAAGUCUGAUCCAGCCAUUCCGCGUGCAGGAUGAAGGCCCUCGGGUUGUAAACCUGCUUUUGUACGGAACGAAAAGGUUUCCA